AAGAAGGUUGUGGAAAGUGUGGGGAAGGUUCUAGAAGGUGAAAGGAGGGUGCUUGCAGAGGAAAGCGAUGAUUUUGAUGAGGAUUUGGAUGAUGGGUUAGAUGAUGAUGAUGAAGAAGAAGAAGAAGAAGAAGGAAGUGAGGGUGAAGAGGAAAAGAAGGGGAAGGGAGGAGCAGAAGGAGGGAUAGAGGAUGAGUUUUUGAAGAUAAAUGAAUUGCAAGAGUAUCUAGAAGAGGAUGAGGCGAGGGAAUAUGGGUUGAAGAAGGAUAGUAAUGAUAGUAGAAAGAAAGGAGGACGAAGGGUUUUGGAUAAUGAAGAAGAUGAGGAUGAGGAUGAGGAAGAUGAAGAUGAGGAGGAGGUAUUUUGUUUUUAUUUUUGCUUGAAAGUAAAAUGUGAAGUUGAAUUGCUAAACUUAUAAUAUGGAUGCUUUGAUAUGAUGGAUUUGUCUUAAUAAUUUUAUUCAAGGAUUUGAGGCUGGAUUUGUUAUGUAAAUUGUUUCAUGAAUAUCAUUUGUAGACAUUGCAGUUGGCUUAGUAAUUAAUGGUUUAGAAAGUUAUCUUAUUCUUCCCAUAGCUUGUGUUGUUCCUAAGUGUUGUGGUGUUGCAGCUUGGUGUUUUUGGUGACAGUGAUGAUAAUGAGGAGGAGGAUGAGCAUAGGCAGAAAUUGGAAAAUGCUGGGUACUUUCUCAACCAUUUACCUUUCAUAUUCUUGUGUGUGUCUCUCUCUCUAAAUAAAUUUUCUGAAGUGAUACUUACAGGAUAUCAUUUGUUGAACACAAAAUUUUGUUUGAUGUUGAUGUGAAAAUUGUUGAUUUUAUUAGCAAAACUUUGGCAUUUCCUUUGCCAACCUUCGCAAAUGCAUAUCUACUGUUGCCACCAUAACCUAAGGCACUUCCCAUAUUGUCUAUUCCAACUGCUGCUGCACCCAAAUCAAAUACUGUUCUACAACUGAUAAUACCAGCAUUGGGACAUCAAUACCAUUACCAAUAUUGGGAGGUCUAGAGUACAUGGACAAUGGUUUUUAUAUUGUCACUGCCACUGCCUCCCUUUCCAACAUCUUCAUAAAAGCCACCGUCCUCCUGACAAUACUUGUCUAUAAGAGCUAAAUAUAAAAUUUUUAUAUUCAGGUACGAAGACUUCUUUGGUAGUAAAAGGAAAAAGGCUCCAAAGAAAAAUUUAAAAUCAAUUGAAGAGUUAGAAGAAGAUUCAGGCUUGGAUGAUGAAGAAGAUGAGGAUGAGG
rnacentral:lncRNA from 1 species